rnacentral:rRNA from 1 species
GGAUAACCGUGGUAAUUCUAGAGCUAAUACAUGCUGAAAAGCCUCGACUUCGGGAGGGGUGUAUUUAUUAGAUAAAAAACCAAUGCCCUUCGGGGCUCUCUGGUGAUUCAUAAUAACUUCGCGAAUCGCAUGGCCUUGCGCCGGCGAUGGUUCAUUCAAAUUUCUGCCCUAUCAACUUUCGAUGGGAGUGUAGUGGACUCCCAUGGUUGCAACGGGUAACGGGGAAUUAGGUAAGCAACUAUUUCUUUACAAACUUGAAUAGGCUUCUUGUAGCUAACCUAUACCAAAAGUGUUCGAUUCCGGAGAGGCAGCCUGAGAAACGGCUACCACAUCCAAGGAAGGCAGCAGGCGCGCAAAUUACCCAAUCCCAAUUCGGGGAGGUAGUGACGAUAAAUAUUGAUACAGGGCUCUUUUGGGUCUUGUAAUCGAAAUGAGUACAAUUUAAAUCUCUUAACGAGGAACAAUUGGAGGGCAAGUCUGGUGCCAGCAGCCGCGGUAAUUCCAGCUCCAAUAGCGUAUAUUAAAGUUGUUGCAGUUAAAAAGCUCGUAGUUGAACCUUGGGCCUGGCUGGCCGGUCCGCCUCACCGCGUGCACUGGUCCGGCCGGGCCUUUCCUCCUGGGGAUCCGCAUGCUCUUCAUUGAGUGUGUCGGGGAAGCAGGACUUUUACUGUGAAAAAAUUAGAGUGCUCAAAGCAGGCCAACGCUCGCAUAGAUUAGCAUGGAAUAAUAAAUAUGACGAGAGUCUUAUUUUGGUGGUUCUAAGGCUGCCGUAAUGAUUAAUAG